ACCUGCUGUUGGAACCUGGAGCACAGCCCACCUUCCUUACUGUUUCGAGCAACGUUACAGGGUCUACACGAGCUGUCCCAGAUCAUGGUGUGUGCCCCUGCCAUGGGCAGACCCUCACCCAGGAGUUCUGUCUGAGUCCAACAAGCUGUCUCUUUUGAAUGAAGCAAGAGAGAGGUUCAAAGGCAACAGGACAGAAAGGUUUAUGGGCCACUCUGGCCCCAACUGGGUUGUUUUCCGGGAGAAGAACUUUCAAUCCUUCCACGCACAAUAAUGAAAUAUGAUACAAAACAGGCCCAUGUCAAUAAAUCUACAGGAGAAAGGUCAGGUUUACAUGGCUGGACGGGAUUGGCAAAUACAUUUGUUCCUGCCACGUCUGUGUUUUAAAUGCCACCCUCGGAUGAACCUGGUGCUGAAACACACUUUGGAGUUUGAUGAGAUGUCACUUUUGCUCAGCCCUGAUCAAAUAAAAUGAAUGAA